UUCCGGUUGAUCCUGCCGGACCCUACUGCUAUCGGGAUGGGACUAAGACAUGCUAGUCGAGCGCCUCCUAGCCACGCUGGAGGCGCGGCACACAGCUCAGUAACACGUGGCUAACCUGCCCUUGGGACGGAAACAUCCCCGGGAAACUGGGGCCAAUUUCCGAUAGGCGAAGGUCUCUGGAACGAGUCUUCACCCAAAAGACGUUUGGGGCAUGCUCCUAGACGUUGCCCAAGGAUGGGGCCGCGGCCGAUCAGGUUGUUGGUGAGGUAACGGCUCACCAAGCCUAUUACCGGUACGGCCGUGGGAGCGGUAGCCCGGAGAUGGGCACUGAGACAAGGGCCCAGGCCCUACGGGGCGCAGCAGUCGCGAAAACUUCGCAAUAAGCGAAACUUGACGAGGCCAUCCCGAGUGCCAUCUGCUGAGGAUGGCUUUUACCUAGUAUAGAUAGCUAGGGGAAUAAGGAGAGGGCAAGUCUGGUGUCAGCCGCCGCGGUAAUACCAGCUCUCCGAGUUGUGGGGACAUUUAUUGGGCCUAAAGCAUCCGUAGCCGGCUGAACAAGUCCCCUGUUAAAUCCAGCGACGAAUCGUUGGCCUGCGGGGGAUACUGUUCGGCUAGGGGGCGGGAGAGGCCGUCGGUAUUCUUGGGGUAGGGGUGAAAUCCUAUAAUCCCAGGAGGACCACCAGUGGCGAAGGCUGUCGGCUAGAACGCGCCCGACGGUGAGGGAUGAAAGCUGGGGGAGCGAACCGGAUUAGAUACCCGGGUAGUCCCAGCUGUAAACGAUGCAGGCUAGGUGUUAGGGCGGCUACGUGCCGCUCUAGUGCCGCAGGGAAGCUGUUAAGCCUGCCGCCUGGGGAGUACGGCCGCAAGCGUGAAACUUAAAGGAAUUGGCGGG
rnacentral:rRNA from 1 species